UGCAUACUAAUCGUUAUCGUCUCAAAAGAGAAAAUAUUUUUGUUUAAACAUAUAAUUUUAAUUUUGUUUAUUGUGUGUGUACUUAUUUUAUCAUGGGUUGGCGCUAAUACUAUAUACUAAAGAGAUUUUAAUGGAUACUUACCAAUAUUGUUAUGUAAUUAGAUGGAAACUAUAUUAUUUAAGAUUAUACUUUUAUAAAAUAUCACAAAAAGUAUACAAGUUUUGUAUAAAUAUUAAUCAUUUUAAUAAUAUUCCCAAGGAUACCCUUUAGUGAAGAAAAUUUGAAUACCUCAUAAGAGUCCUUAAAAGUUCAUAUUCCUCAAGUGAAGAAAAUAGCGUAUCAGAAGAAAUAGAAGGGUGGAAAGAAGUUGGCAUUCCGAUCUGAUGCUGCUGACGAGCUAACCAAGCUCUGUUCCUGGCGACGACAGCGUUCGGUGGCUCUCCCCGACGGCGCUAGAAGGAAGGCGAGGGAAAAAAUGGGUGGAGGAGGAACCCUAGACACGGGGCAUGGCCAAAUAGGCCGAAGAGGAGCCCUGGUGGCCGUCUGAUGGAGGAGAGAAGGGAUCUGGUGGCUGCCAUGGCGUCAUACACAGGCGACGCACGCGAGGUGGGAGAAGGAACGUGCUGUGGGCUAGAUCGAACAGGUAUGGUCCUAACUAAAUACUCACUUGGGCUGCCCUUCCUCUCUCUCUGAAAUUAAAAGAAAAAGCUUUUGCAAAUAAAAAUAAAUGGAUAUUUUUGAACAAAGCCAGAGGAUAGAAGAAAAGGAGUAAAACAAAAAUGACAAUAUAUUUAGGCUUCUAAAAUGUUGCCACUGUUUAUAAAAAUAAGUGGGACAUUUUUAGGAGACCAAAAUUUAAAUGCAUCUAAUUUAAAUGGGCUCUGAUUUUAAAUAAAACCAAAAGGAAAAUAAAGAUGAAAUCAGAGUGGUUGCCUUCACAAUAUGAAAAGGAUUUUU
rnacentral:lncRNA from 1 species